GGCAGAGAAGGACGCUUGCACCGCAUCGAUGCCUCUCGUCUGCGCGAUGAAGACGACAGUGAUGUUGAAGUUGGUCUCCGGGUUUUCUGCUUGCGUUCUUCUUUCUUAUGCUCACUGUUUUCUUCUUUUUUUCCUUCUCUGUGUAAUUGCUUUUCUUUGGCUCUGUUUUUUUUUUUUGCUCUGGAUUUCUGAGUCCUUUUUCUGGUUCCCCCCAGUUCUUUUUCCCCGUAUGUGUUUUCUUCUCUGGUCGUCCCCUGUAUAUUUGCCUUUUUUGCUGUGUUUUAUGCCAUGUUUUUCCUCCCCCUUACUAAGACUUUUCUCCGGCUUUUAUAAAGCCAGAGAAAGUCUUGUGUCCCUGUCUCCAGAAAUGGCGAGCAUCGUGGAGGCGAGAGAUCGUGGGCUUCAGAAACGGCAUCGUGGUGUAGUGGCCGUGAUUUGCUGGAAUUUCCUCUGUUCAUGAUCUGCCGGAUUUUCCCCUGUUGAGUCGGUUUUCAACCAACAGAUGAUGAAUCCAAAACGGCGUCAUUUGGGGUGAAAAAUGACAAAUUGUAGUUUGGUCCCUGCCUUUUUGAAAUGUAUCAAUUGGGUCCCUUAAUCAAUAAAUUGUUUUUAAUUU